ensembl:lncRNA
AGCAAACACGCGAAGGCGAAUGCCGAGAAGAGAGGAGACCUCAGAAGACAGAGAGGAGAAAUGCAUGCAAGCUGUUGGGGAUUUUGAUGUAGGGUACAGCCCCCUGGGUGCUCUGAGCACAGGUCGAACUCUAAAGGG